CAUGCUGCUCAACUCCAUUGUGAUUGGCUGCUCACUUCUGUUUUCUUCUCUAAGACAAUCACUCCAUGGGGAUGGGGAAACUUCUGUAGUAUUCCUUCUACUUCCUCAGUGCCUGCCUCAGUGAGGGCAUACAGCAGGUACUCAGAAUACGGACUGAAUCAGUGAGUGAGACUGAGGUCUACAGAGUUAUGUCCAAUUCAUUCUGCUGUCCUUCCUAUUUCCACGCCCCCCUUCCCUUCAUUCUCCUUUGUCUAAUCCAAAGAAUUUCUAUUCUUCCGUGCCCCCCUUAUGGUGUGUUAGCCUCCACCUUGUGAAGAAAGCCUUCCCUACUUCUUCUGUGCUACCCCUGAUUACCAUUUUGUCAGGACACCAUGCAUACAACUGGACGAUAGCUCUAACCCCACUGAGAACUUCAUGAAAACACUCUUCUUUAUCUUUUGUAUCUUACAUAUUGAGACACUCAAUAACUUUCUUCAGUUGACUUGCAUGAGAAGAAAAACAUCAGAUCUCUUUAGAGAGACGACUAAGGGAUUGAGGCAAUCUGUGAUGUGCUUGCAAAACAAUACAUAGAGUUUGGUAAGCUAAAAAGUCAUUCUUUAUUGCCCUUUUAUUUUUAAUUUAACUAUCACAUCUGUAUACAAAAGCACCCAAAAUAUUAGUGUGCUACUCAAUGAA
rnacentral:lncRNA from 1 species